UACAUGGGGUGCAAACGUUGCUCGGAAUCAUUGGGCGUAAAGCGCACGUAGGCGGCCCGCUAAGUCGGAUGUGAAAGCCCUCGGCUUAACCGAGGAAGUGCACCCGAAACUGGCAGGCUUGAGUACGAAAGGGGGUCGCGGAAUUCCCGGUGUAGAGGUGAAAUUCGUAGAUAUCGGGAGGAACACCGGUGGCGAAGGCGGCGACCUGGGUCGAUACUGACGCUGAGGUGCGAAAGCGUGGGGAGCAAACAGG
rnacentral:rRNA from 1 species